AAUCAGAGCAGAAUUAGGGGCCACCUUGGUUUUAUUUUCUUUCUCUGAUAAAAGUGAAGUAGGGCACAAGACCCUGCCCAGUUCUUUUCCUACAGGCCUUUGAACAUUCCCCAGCAAAGUGAGAAGGGAAAGCUCAGGGCUACCUCCAGUGCUAGCGCAGAGGGCGGGAGUAUCAGCUGGCUGGCUGGAGCUGGCCAAGCCCCUCCUCUCCUCCUCCUGCUUCCCCCUCCAUCCAGGCUCCACCGGGAACCUGUCCCAGACGCCUACCCCGCCUGAGCCAGAGGAAGGGAGGAAAACAAUAGCAAAAACCAGGACCCUUCGGACUUGCCGCUGAAUGGGGAUUUUCGUCGGAUGUUGAGUUUACCUGGAAUGCCCCGGUGUUAUUUUGGGAAGGCAGACAUCCCACGGAAACAAUGAAGUGGAAAAGAAAACAGCUAAAGCAAAAUCUAGAGCCCAGUUUUUGCCAAACCAGCCCCACGUGGGCUGGGCAGGCUCUGGAAGCCCAAGUCAGGCCGAUGAAGAGCGGCUGAGGCCGUGGGGAUCUGGUUUACCAGGAGGGCACAUGGAGGAUGCAAGAAAAGGAAGAGCCGUAUUCAAGUCCCCACUUCAGUGAUGAGGCAGAAAGACCCUGCGCCUGACCACGUGGGAACAGCCUGCAGUGAGCGGUGACGCCGCCUGGCUUGAGCUAAGUGCUGGGCUCCACCAUUCAUUGGCUGAGUGACCUUAGAUGAGAAGAGAAUGAGCCAUGUGUUUCCUGAAACAUCCAGUGGCCUCACCGGAGAAUCUGCAAGAGCCGGUAAACCCAGAAGCUUGGCCGUCCAUUCCUGGAAGCAGACAUUGUGUCUUCGUCCACCAAGCCCCUGGCUCUCAACACUCACUGUGGUGGCAAGAACAUGGCACCUUGACCCUACACAGUUCUUCCAUUUUUCAGAAGCAGCUCCAGACCCUUGUCCCCAGGUUUUGACCCCACCCAGACCUUUGCCUGGGACGGAAAGCUGCUUCAUUUCAGGAGACACCUGAAGUACCUGGGUUGGUUCAGAGACUACCAGAAGUUUUUGGACUUCUUCUAGUCCUUUAAUGGCCAAAAGGACUCAAGGGCCUGGCAUGUAAUGGAAAAGGCAUCACCUCUCUCAUGGAACGCAGCUGGAAGGACCAACCCCUUCAUAGUUACAGGAAUCUGAGCUAUGAAGACACUAGCCAGGCAACAAGGCCCUGGGCUCAGACACAGAUGAAGUUUCUCUGGAAGAGAAAUCUGGCCUGUUACAGACCUGGGAAGUGCCAAGGCUUAGCUCCUGAGAAGGAUUGCUGGUGCUGACAGCUGGGAGUCAGGACUCCAGGGCCACUUGUAUGGAAGCUGGUGCCCGUGGUGCAGGAGGAUGGGGGCUCUGGAUUCUGCACCACCCCCCAUAGACUGGCCCCUCAGAGGGCUCCUGUGGUGUCAGAGCCCUCUCACAAGCGCCUGCCGUGGUUAUCAGCUGAAGCUGAGUGCUUGUGGAGUGUGGACAGAGGGCAGAGGGAGAGAAGCAGCCAUGGGCUUCCUGCCAGGAAGCUCAGCAGCUCCGAGGAGACUGGAGAGUCAUGGGACACAGUGCGUCCUCCCCAGAACAGCCUCCAGCCUGCCAGUUCAGAGCACACGCUUGGAGGCAGGAAGGCUGAGGUCCAACCCCAUUCCUGCUAUGGGCCAGCUGAGAGCUGUGGACAAGUCAUUCGGCUUCUCUGAGCCGCAGUCUUCUCACCUGUAAAGCGGGGGUAAUAAUACCCUCCUCACAAGGUUGUUGCAAGGCUUUGUGGGGAAAAAUACAAAGUGCACAGAGUUGUUCAGUAAGGCGUGGGCCUGCGGGGAAAGGCGGGGCCAUGAGCUGGCCAGGGGAGGAAAGGACAGAUGGGGACUCCAGAUAAUGAAAGCAUCUUUGCAUCCUCAAUGAUAUAAUCUGGGUUUGUUGUUGUUGUUGUUGUUUGAGACAGAGUCUCGCUCUGUCCCCCAGGCUGGAGUGCAGUGGUGCAAUUUCAGCUCACUGCAACCUGUACUUCCCGGGUUCAAGUGAUUCUCCUGCCUCAGCUUCCUGAGUAGCUGGGAUUACAGGUGCCCGCCACCAUGCCUGGCUAAUUUUUCUGUUUUUAAUAGAGACAGGGUUUCGCCAUGUUGGCCAGGAUGGCCUCGAGCUCCUGACCUCAGCUGAUCCACCCUCCUCAGCCUCCCAAAGUGCUGCGAUUACAGGCAUGAGCCACCGCGCCCGGCCCAUCUGGAGUUUUUUUGUUUGUUUGUUCCUCAUAAAGGCUACGAGGAGAGGAAGGGGCCUAGAACACAGGAUGGUGGAAGAGGGGCUCAUGGGUGGAGGGGAGGAGAGCAGAUGAGCAGGGACCCUCCCCCUUCCUCGGCAACCAUGGGGUUUGCCACACAUAUAUUUUUGAUGUCCCAUGUAUCAGGUGGAGAUGUCAACUUCUAUGAACUGAAAUAAACUGUUUCCCUAUGUGUAAAAUGAAGGGCACUUCAAGUCUGUCCAAGUACAACCAGGUGUCUCUAGAUACCCCGAGCCUGAGAAAUCACCC
rnacentral:lncRNA from 1 species